UACUCAUGUUUAAUUAUUUGGGAAAAAAACCAAAAUUCAUUAUUAAUGGAGAAAUAAAGAUUUGGUAGUGGGGAUUCCAAAAACCACUAUCAGAUUUACACCCGUUACGAAUACGAGCACUUUAUUUCUUCAUCCUCAAACGUUUCCUCUGGAAUACAAGAUUAUAUAAUUAAGCCGUGAAACGCUGCCACAAUCAACAACUAUUAGGGAACCCAAUGUGGACGACUUCGGCACUCUGAUCCGCUGCCGCAAAGACGUAGAACUAAAAAAGUACAAAAUGAGGAGAUGCGUGAAAGUUAACCAUUGUCAAUUUUUGGAGGCAGAAGAAAGUAAAAAACUAGGUGUUGCGAAGCAAUGAAUUGAUUGAUAGUUUUGAGGCAAGUUGUGAAGGGAUCAAGACCAUUUAUCUCGAGAAACAGUAGGAAGAAUAGUAUGCUGGUGGUACCCCGUGCUUCAAUCUCAAGAUUGAUCCUGCAAAGUGCAAGAGUAUUUCCUCUGGCUUUGGAAUUUUACUUAAGGAGCAGGGCAUUAGAGGAUUCUUUAGGGGUUGGGUACCUACUUUGCUUGGUUAUAUUUCACAGGGACUUUGCAAAUAUGGAUUCCAUGAAUAUUUCAAGAUGUACUAUUCAGACCUUGCUGGCCCUGAGAAUGCUGUCAAGUACAAGACUUUGAUCUAAUUUGUUGGUUCUGCAUCUGCUGAGGUUAAUGCUGAUGUUGCCUUUGCCCAUUUGAGGCUGUCAAAGUUCAUGUUCAAACUCAGCCUGGUUUUGCCAGAGGCUUGUCUGAUGGACUUCCCAAGUUUGUCAAGGUUGAAGGCAUUGAUUGGUAUGCCUAUUUAUAUUAUCUUGAACAAAUUUGUUGUUAGUUAGAUUUGCUUAUUGUGGGUUUUCUCAAUACUAAGGAAAUUAUGACCUUUGAAUUUUUCUUUAUAGGCUU